UACAGAGGGUGCAAGCGUUGUUCGGAAUUAUUGGGCGUAAAGCGCGUGUAGGCGGCUUUGCAAGUCGGGUGUGAAAGCCCUCAGCUCAACUGAGGAAGUGCGCCCGAAACUGCAGAGCUUGAGUACCGGAGAGGGUGGCGGAAUUCCCCAAGUAGAGGUGAAAGUUCGUAGAUAUGGGGAGGAACACCGGUGGCGAAGGCGGCCACCUGG
rnacentral:rRNA from 1 species